UACGUAGGUGGCAAGCGUUGUCCGGAUUUACUGGGCGUAAAGAGCGCGCAGGCGGUCGUUCAAGUCGCGUGUGAAAGCCCCCGGCUCAACUGGGGAGGGUCACGCGAUACUGAUCGACUCGAAGGCAGGAGAGGGAAGUGGAAUUCCCGGUGUAGUGGUGAAAUGCGUAGAUAUCAGGAGGAACACCGGCGGUGUAGACGGCUUUCUGGACCGUAGCUGACGCUGAGACACGAAAGCGUGGGUAGCAAACAGG
rnacentral:rRNA from 1 species